rnacentral:rRNA from 1 species
UUGAAGAGUUUGAUCAUGGCUCAGAUUGAACGCUGGCGGCAGGCCUAACACAUGCAAGUCGAGCGGUAGCACAGAGAGCUUGCUCUCGGGUGACGAGCGGCGGACGGGUGAGUAAUGUCUGGGAAACUGCCUGAUGGAGGGGGAUAACUACUGGAAACGGUAGCUAAUACCGCAUAACGUCGCAAGACCAAAGUGGGGGACCUUCGGGCCUCAUGCCAUCAGAUGUGCCCAGAUGGGAUUAGCUUGUAGGUGGGGUAACGGCUCACCUAGGCGACGAUCCCUAGCUGGUCUGAGAGGAUGACCAGCCACACUGGAACUGAGACACGGUCCAGACUCCUACGGGAGGCAGCAGUGGGGAAUAUUGCACAAUGGGCGCAAGCCUGAUGCAGCCAUGCCGCGUGUGUGAAGAAGGCCUUCGGGUUGUAAAGCACUUUCAGCGGGGAGGAAGGCGGUGAGGUUAAUAACCUCAUCGAUUGACGUUACCCGCAGAAGAAGCACCGGCUAACUCCGUGCCAGCAGCCGCGGUAAUACGGAGGGUGCAAGCGUUAAUCGGAAUUACUGGGCGUAAAGCGCACGCAGGCGGUCUGUCAAGUCGGAUGUGAAAUCCCCGGGCUCAACCUGGGAACUGCAUUCGAAACUGGCAGGCUAGAGUCUUGUAGAGGGGGGUAGAAUUCCAGGUGUAGCGGUGAAAUGCGUAGAGAUCUGGAGGAAUACCGGUGGCGAAGGCGGCCCCCUGGACAAAGACUGACGCUCAGGUGCGAAAGCGUGGGGAGCAAACAGGAUUAGAUACCCUGGUAGUCCACGCUGUAAACGAUGUCGAUUUGGAGGUUGUGCCCUUGAGGCGUGGCUUCCGGAGCUAACGCGUUAAAUCGACCGCCUGGGGAGUACGGCCGCAAGGUUAAAACUCAAAUGAAUUGACGGGGGCCCGCACAAGCGGUGGAGCAUGUGGUUUAAUUCGAUGCAACGCGAAGAACCUUACCUGGUCUUGACAUCCACAGAACUUUCCAGAGAUGGAUUGGUGCCUUCGGGAACUGUGAGACAGGUGCUGCAUGGCUGUCGUCAGCUCGUGUUGUGAAAUGUUGGGUUAAGUCCCGCAACGAGCGCAACCCUUAUCCUUUGUUGCCAGCGGUUAGGCCGGGAACUCAAAGGAGACUGCCAGUGAUAAACUGGAGGAAGGUGGGGAUGACGUCAAGUCAUCAUGGCCCUUACGACCAGGGCUACACACGUGCUACAAUGGCAUAUACAAAGAGAAGCGACCUCGCGAGAGCAAGCGGACCUCAUAAAGUAUGUCGUAGUCCGGAUUGGAGUCUGCAACUCGACUCCAUGAAGUCGGAAUCGCUAGUAAUCGUAGAUCAGAAUGCUACGGUGAAUACGUUCCCGGGCCUUGUACACACCGCCCGUCACACCAUGGGAGUGGGUUGCAAAAGAAGUAGGUAGCUUAACCUUCGGGAGGGCGCUUACCACUUUGUGAUUCAUGACUGGGGUGAAGUCGUAACAAGGUAACCGUAGGGGAACCUGCGGUUGGAUCACCUCCUU